GUCCACGCCCUAAACGAUGCUCACUAGGUGUUGGGGAAGCGAUUCCUUGGUACCGAAGCUAACGCGUGAAGUGAGCCGCCUGGGGAGUACGGCCGCAAGGUUAAAACUCAAAGGAAUUGACGGGGACCCGCACAAGCGGUGGAUGAUGUGGAUUAAUUCGAUGCAACGCGAACAACCUUACCUACCCUUGACAUGUCUGGAAGGCUUACGAGAGGAGGCUGUGCCUGAAAGGGAACCGGAACACAGGUGCUGCAUGGCUGUCGU
rnacentral:rRNA from 1 species